GGUGUGUGCAGGGGCAGAAUGUGCCAGAAUGCACCAGAAUGUGCUGGCUCUCACCUUGCCCAGCUGCCGCUGGUGAGUCGUGGGGGGAAUUGGGGGGCAACCUACUACUCUCCCUGAAUCACGUGAGCCGACAAAUCCCCCCCCCCUGCACUCUGGGGCCCCCACCAGAGCCCCAGUGUGCAGGUAAAGGGGCUUCUCUUAGACUCUCUCUCCUUCCAAAGAGAAAAACAAAGCACAAAGAGGGACCUGAAGUAUCUCCUUCUCGGAAGCCUGAUAAGGGACUGGAGUGGUGGCCAGAGCCGUGGAAUCCAACAAGAGGAACAUUACGUGCCAUGUGGCAUGGGGGUCCCACAGCGGGAUUCCCACCCCCACGGGUCCUCUGCCUCCACCCUGCAGACCCCGAGGAGGCAAGGAGGCCUUCAGAAAGGAGUCUCCGGAGGCAGCCCAGCCGUGCAGACCCUGACGUUGGACAUACAGCCCAAGUUCUCCAUCUUUAUCCUGCAGAAAAAGUAACGUAUUUCCAGAGGGUUCCAUCAGAGGGGCGGUGAGAAGCUCGGACUCGCCUCCAGGAAGGGGUCCUGGGGUCCCUCCACGGAACAGUCCAGACGUGAACGUACGUCAUCAAAGGGAAAGGGUCUGGGUUCAGGCCCCGGGGCCCCGUGAGUUUGGCUGCAAAAUAAAUUGCCCAGACGAGAGAUUUUCA
rnacentral:lncRNA from 1 species